rnacentral:rRNA from 1 species
CGUAGGGAGCGAGCGUUGUCCGGAAUUACUGGGUGUAAAGGGAGCGUAGGCGGGACUGCAAGUCAGAUGUGAAACUAUGGGCUCAACCUGUAGAUUGCAUUUGAAACUGUGGUUCUUGAGUGAAGUAGAGGUAAGCGGAAUUCCUAGUGUAGCGGUGAAAUGCGUAGAUAUUAGGAGGAACAUCGGUGGCGAAGGCGGCUUACUGGGCUUUUACUGACGCUGAGGCUCGAAAGCGUGGGAGCAAACAGGAUU